GCUUGCUUUCCUUCUCCUUCGCUUCUCGACCCUUCGCGAUUUUAUUAACCAGCCACACAUUCACAAUCGCCGGGCUCUUGGCGAACCAACACGAACUUUUCCGAAUCAGCUGGCUGCAUCACCAAGCAUUGGAAACAAAAUCGAUAUCGCUCGAAGUAUCAUUAGUAAUAUUGUUUAGACACUGAAUGUUAUUGAUUCCAUCUAUAACAUUUACUUAUAAAAUAAAAAAAGGAUUAGUUUGCAAGUGAAUGAGUAAUUAAAAGAAAGCUAAUCAAGAUUAAGUUUCUUUCAUUGGACUAAUGGAACCUUGGUUAAAAUGUAAGAAAGAAAUGCCAACACUGCUCUUUUCACGAGCUAGCCAGAAGAUUGAUAGAGCAAGAAGGAAAGAAAGAGAGAGAGGGAAAGAUCAAAACUCAUUUCAAGAUGUAUGGACAAUUUGCGAAUAGCCGAUUAAAAAAAGCAGAUCUGUUUUUCAGCUUAUCUCUAGGUAUUGUGGAUUCCUUGGCCUUGAUACGUUAAGUCCGAAUGACAACAAUCAGUUCAGUGCGAUCAACAGUCUCAAAUCAAUGAAGCAAAAAUUUUGCAUACAAGAAAAAAGUAAAUAAUCUCGAUUUAAAUGGAAGAGGAGUUAAACCACGAGGUUUUCGAACAGAAACGAGUAGUUUGACUAUCAUAGAAGAAUAAUAAAAAAAAAUCGUAGGGGUUGGAACGAG